rnacentral:rRNA from 1 species
AUUGAACGCUGGCGGCAGGCCUAACACAUGCAAGUCGAGCGGAUGAAGGGAGCUUGCUCCUGGAUUCAGCGGCGGACGGGUGAGUAAUGCCUAGGAAUCUGCCUGGUAGUGGGGGAUAACGUCCGGAAACGGGUGCUAAUACCGCAUACGUCCUGAGGGAGCAAGAGGGGGCUCUUCGGCCCUCACGCUAUCAGAUGAGCCUAGGUCGGAUUAGCUAGUUGGUGGGGUAAAGGCCUACCAAGGCGACGAUCCGUAACUGGUCUGAGAGGAUGAUCAGUCACACUGGAUCUGAGACACGGUCCAGACUCCUACGGGAGGCAGCAGUGGGGAGUAUUGGACAAUGGGCGAAAGCCUGAUCCAGCCAUGCCGCGUGUGUGAAGAAGGUCUUCGGAUUGUAAAGCGCUUUAAGUUGGGAGGAAGGGCAGUAAGUUAAUACCUUGCUGUUUUGACGUUACCAACAGAAGAAGCACCGGCUAACUUCGUG